rnacentral:snRNA from 1 species
AUACUUACCUGGCGCAGGGGUCGCAUUGAUCAAGAAGGAUGCACCCCCAGGGCGAGGCUUGCCAUUGCACUCCGGCUUGCUGAAUCUUGCGAUUCCCCCAAACGUGGGGAACUC